rnacentral:rRNA from 1 species
GUCGUAACAAGGUUUCCGUAGGUGAACCUGCGGAAGGAUCAUUAAAGAGUUCGGGUCCUCACGGGCCUAACCUCCAACCCUUUGUCUACCAAACCAUACGUUGCUUCGGCGGGUCUGUCUUUCAGACUGCCGGGGGGGUCACACCCCUGGCUCGUACCCGCCGGUGGCCAACCAACCAAAACUCUUAACUAAAUCGUGUCUGAAUACUUAAAAAGUAAUAAUUAAAAACUUUCAACAACGGAUCUCUUGGUUCUGGCAUCGAUGAAGAACGCAGCGAAAUGCGAUAAGUAAUGCGAAUUGCAGAAUCCGUGAGUCAUCGAAUCUUUGAACGCACAUUGCGCCCCUCGGUAUUCCGAGGGGCAUGCCUGUUCGAGCGUCAUUAUCACCCCUCAAGCCUAGCUUGGUGUUGGAUUUAGUCGUACCCCCAAGUAUGACUGAUCUCAAAAAUAGUGACGGCGUCCUAGAAGGAACCGGUACGAGGAGCUUCUAAUCAAGCAUGUACACGGCAGGAUUCUACGGGCGGCGGUCUUUUUUUACUUAAAAAAUUAUAAGUGUUGACCUCGGAUCAGGUAGGAAUACCCGCUGAACUUAAGCAUAUCAAUAAGCGGAGGAAAAGAAACCAACAGGGAUUGCCUUAGUAACGGCGAGUGAAGCGGCAACAGCUCAAAUUUGAAAUCUGACUUGUUUACGAGUCCGAGUUGUAAUUUGUAGAGGAUGUUUCGGGUACCGCAACGGCUUAAAUUUCUUGGAACAGAAUGUCAGAGAGGGUGAGAGUCCCGUCUGGAGCCGCGGUAGGGCCCAUGUGAAACUCCUUCGACGAGUCGAGUUGUUUGGGAAUGCAGCUCAAAAUGGGUGGUAAAUUUCAUCUAAAGCUAAAUAUUGGCCAGAGACCGAUAGCGCACAAGUAGAGUGAUCGAAAGAUGAAAAGCACUUUGAAAAGAGAGUUAAACAGUAUGUGAAAUUGUUGAAAGGGAAGCGCUGGCAACCAGACUUGGAUUGUGAGGUUCCCCCUGGCUUCUGCCUGGGCUACUCCUUACUAUACAGGCCAACAUCGGUUUGGGUGGUCGGUUAAAGGCCCUGGGAAUGUAUCUUCCCCCGGGAAGACUUAUAGCCCAGGGUGUCAUGCGACCUAUCCGGACCGAGGAACGCGCUUCGGCUCGGAUGUUGGCGUAAUGGUUGUCAGCGACC